UACUUAUCCAGAGAGGUGGAGGGACUGGCCCGAUGAAACCCGGCAACCUUUAAGCCACGGCUUAAAAAGGUGCUAAUUCCUGCUGAGCGAAAGCUUGGAAGAUAAGGA
rnacentral:ncRNA from 1 species